rnacentral:rRNA from 1 species
GUGGGGAAUCUUCCGCAAUGGACGAAAGUCUGACGGAGCGACGCCGCGUGAGUGAAGAAGGCCUUCGGGUCGUAAAGCUCUGUCAUCAGGGACGAACGGCCGGUGGAGUGGAAAGCCACCGGAUUGACGGUACCUGAGAAGGAAGCCACGGCUAACUACGUGCCAGCAGCCGCGGUAAUACGUAGGUGGCAAGCGUUGUCCGGAAUUAUUGGGCGUAAAGCGCGCGCAGGUGGGAUCUUAAGUCCAUUUUUAAAGUUCGGAGCUCAACUCCGUGAUGGGAUGGAAACUGGGAUUCUUGAGUACCGGAGAGGAAAGCGGAAUUCCCCGUGUAGCGGUGAAAUGCGUAGAUAUCGGGAGGAACACCAGUGGCGAAGGCGACUUCCUGGCACAAUACUGACGCUCAUGUGCGAAAGCUAGGGUAGCGAACGGGAUUAGAUACCCCAGUAGUCC